rnacentral:rRNA from 1 species
GUAGGGUGCAAGCGUUAAUCGGAAUUACUGGGCGUAAAGCGUGCGCAGGCGGUUUUGUAAGUCUGACGUGAAAUCCCCGGGGGCUUAACCUGGGGAAUUGCGUUGGAGACUGCAAGGCUGGAGUCUGGCAGAGGGGGGUAGAAUUCCACGUGUAGCAGUGAAAUGCGUAGAGAUGUGGAGGAACACCGAUGGCGAAGGCAGCCCCCUGGGUCAAGACUGACGCUCAUGCACGAAAGCGUGGGGAGCAAACAGGAUUAGAUACCCUGGUAGUCCACGCCCUAAACGAUGUCUACUAGUUGUCGGGUCUUAAUUGACUUGGUAACGCAGCUAACGCGUGAAGUAGACCGCCUGGGGAGUACGGUCGCAAAGAUUAA